CCUACGGGUUGCAGCAGUGGGGAAUAUUGGACAAUGGACCAAAAGUCUGAUCCAGCAAUUCUGUGUGCACGAUGAAGGUCUUCGGAUUGUAAAGUGCUUUCAGCAGGGAAGAAGCAAGUGACGGUACCUGCAGAAGAAGCGACGGCUAAAUACGUGCCAGCAGCCGCGGUAAUACGUAUGUCGCAAGCGUUAUCCGGAAUUAUUGGGCGUAAAGCGCGUCUAGGCGGCUUAUUAAGUCUGAUGUGAAAAUGCGGGGCUCAACUCCGUAUUACGUUGGAAACUGGUAGGCUAGAGUAUCAGAGAGGUGGGCGGAACUACAAGUGUAGAGGUGAAAUUCGUAGAUAUUUGUAGGAAUGCCGAUGGGGAAGCCAGCUCACUGGAUGAAUACUGACGCUGAAGCGCGAAAGCGUGGGGAGCAAACGGGAUUAGAUACCCUCGUAGUC
rnacentral:rRNA from 1 species